rnacentral:rRNA from 1 species
UGGGGAAUUUUGGACAAUGGGCGAAAGCCUGAUCCAGCAAUGCCGCGUGCGUGAAGAAGGCCUUCGGGUUGUAAAGCACUUUUGUCCGGAAAGAAAUCCUUGGCUCUAAUACAGUCGGGGGAUGACGGUACCGGAAGAAUAAGCACCGGCUAACUACGUGCCAGCAGCCGCGGUAAUACGUAGGGUGCAAGCGUUAAUCGGAAUUACUGGGCGUAAAGCGUGCGCAGGCGGUUUGCUAAGACCGAUGUGAAAUCCCCGGGCUCAACCUGGGAACUGCAUUGGUGACUGGCAGGCUAGAGUAUGGCAGAGGGGGGUAGAAUUCCACGUGUAGCAGUGAAAUGCGUAGAGAUGUGGAGGAAUACCGAUGGCGAAGGCAGCCCCCUGGGCCAAUACUGACGCUCAUGCACGAAAGCGUGGGGAGCAAAACAGGAUUAGAUACCCCUGGUAGUCCACGCCCUAAACGAUGUCAACUAGUUGUUGGGGAUUCAUUUCCUUAGUAACGUACUAACGCGUGAAGUUGACCGCCUGGGGAGUACGGUCGCAAGAUUAAAACUCAAAUGAAUUGACGGGGUC